UGAUUGAUUCAAAAGAACCCCAUAAAAUGGUCGUUAUUCUGUAUAUAGGGACUGUUCUGUAUGCACACAUCUGCAGAUGGGGAGAUCAUCAGGGUGUAGCAGAAGAACUAAAGGGGGGCCUUCAGGUUGGCCCAUUUCUACCGGUGAACCACAGAAGUCCUACAAGCCUUUCUGUGAUACUAAACAUCUGCUAGGAAAUGAAUUGCGUAGAAGGUUCAGAAAAAGAAAUGGAUGAUCCCAGCUGGAAAGACUAAAUUGAGCCAGAUCAUCGUGCCAUGAUGAGAUCAUCCAGUGUGCCGCCGUUUUGCUCGUAGAGAACGUGAACUGAAGGAGGAUCAGAAAC